AUAAGCAGAGUUACUCUAGGCAAUUAUCUUCCUCCGAUUGAAAUUUGCAGACCAGUUGGACUACCGGAGCUAGGUAGGCUUAGAAGAACGUUUGUUAAAUUUGCAGACCAGUUAUGACUGUGAUACCCAGUCACAGCGGAAGGGUUCUUAAGGAUUCAUAACUGUUUUGUCAAGGGUUCAGAAUGUUUUUUUGGGGAAAUGAUAGGGUUUACAAUGGCAAAAUUAGGAGAGAUGAUGCAUUCAAGCGUUAUUACCUCUAAACUCUCUGUUCAAGUAAUCCACAAACCGUCUCUUUCCACUGUUUGCAUCAGUUGGUAACGGUGGCCCGCUCAGACUCGACUGACCCAUCAAUUUAACAAACGUUCUUCUAAGCCUACCUAGCUCCGGUAGUCCAACUGGUCUGCAAAUUUCAAUCGGAGGAAGAUCAUUACCUAGAGUAACUCUGU